CACAGCUGUACUAAUUACUUACUGGAUCCUAGAAACGUAUUCAUGGAGUAUGUAUUAAAGUGCAAACUAAGAAGAAGAAAAAUGGGAAAAAAUUGACUUUCAUUCAGAAACCUCAUCAUUAUCCAUUUCCCAUCAUCUGACCUAAAACAGUCAAUACUGGGAAAAGCAAUUCUACCCUGAUAGAGAUAAAAGUAUCUGUUUUUACGUGCAGGACCUUAUCACCACAACCCACUGUCUCUAUGGGUGCCAACUACAGGUCCCUUAACACUUGUCUUUCAGUAUGAUACGGAGUCACUUGAAUUUCAU